CCUACGGGCGGCUGCAGUGGGGAAUAUUGGACAAUGGGCGAAAGCCUGAUCCAGCCAUGCCGCGUGUGUGAAGAAGGCCUUCGGGUUGUAAAGCACUUUCAGUGGGGAAGAAAGCCUUGGGGCUAAUACCCUCGAGGAAGGACAUCACCCACAGAAGAAGCACCGGCUAACUCCGUGCCAGCAGCCGCGGUAAUACGGAGGGUGCGAGCGUUAAUCGGAAUUACUGGGCGUAAAGCGCGCGUAGGCGGUCUGAUAAGCCGGUUGUGAAAGCCCCGGGCUCAACCUGGGAACGGCAUCCGGAACUGUCAGGCUUGAGUGCAGGAGAGGAAGGUAGAAUUCCCGGUGUAGCAGUGAAAUGCGUAGAGAUCGGGAGGAAUACCAGUGGCGAAGGCGGCCUUCUGGACUGACACUGACGCUGAGGUGCGAAAGCGUGGGUAGCAAACAGGAUUAGAUACCCUGGUAGUC
rnacentral:rRNA from 1 species